rnacentral:tRNA from 1 species
AAAGGGAUAAGCUAUAAAAGCUAAAGAGCUCAUACCUCUUCGAAAGUCUAACCUUCCCUUUA